rnacentral:rRNA from 1 species
UACAGAGGGGGCAAGCGUUGUUCGGAAUUACUGGGCGUAAAGGGCGCGUAGGCGGCCCGCUAAGUCGAACGUGAAAUCCCCGGGCUCAACCCAGAGCCUGCAUUCGAAACUGACGAGCUCGAGUUCUGGAGGGGAAAGCGGAAUUCCUGGUGUAGCGGUGAAAUGCGUAGAUAUCAGGAGGAACACCGGUGGCGAAGGCGGCUUUCUGGACAGAAACUGACGCUGAUGCGCGAAAGCGUGGGGAGCGAACAGG